GACAGAGGGUGCAAACGUUGUUCGGAAUUACUGGGCGUAAAGCGCGUGUAGGCGGCUAUGCAAGUCGGAUGUGAAAGCCCUCGGCUCAACCGGGGAAGUGCACCCGAAACUGCAAAGCUAGAGUCUCGGAGAGGAUCGUGGAAUUCUCGGUGUAGAGGUGAAAUGCGUAGAUAUUGGGAGGAACACCGGUGGCGAAGGCGGCUACCUGGCCCGGUACUGACGCUGAGGUGCGAAAGCGUGGGGAGCAAACAGG
rnacentral:rRNA from 1 species